CUACGGGUCGCUCCAGUGGGGAAUCUUGGACAAUGGGCGCAAGCCUGAUCCAGCCAUGCCGCGUGAGUGAAGAAGGCCUUAGGGUCGUAAAGCUCUUUCGCCAGAGAUGAUAAUGACAGUAUCUGGUAAAGAAACCCCGGCUAACUCCGUGCCAGCAGCCGCGGUAAUACGGAGGGGGUUAGCGUUGUUCGGAAUUACUGGGCGUAAAGCGCGCGUAGGCGGAUUAGUCAGUCAGAGGUGAAAUCCCAGGGCUCAACCCUGGAACUGCCUUUGAUACUGCUAGUCUUGAGUUCGAGAGAGGUGAGUGGAAUUCCGAGUGUAGAGGUGAAAUUCGUAGAUAUUCGGAGGAACACCAGUGGCGAAGGCGGCUCACUGGCUAGAUACUGACGCUGAGGUGCGAAAGUGUGGGGAGCAAACAGGAUUAGAUACCCGGGUAGUC
rnacentral:rRNA from 1 species